ACCAGUAUAAAGUUGGGAUACAUGUAUUAAAUUAAUUGUUCUAAUAUUGACCGACUGAAAUGCUAAUCCUGAUUUAGUUCGAUGCUCCGAAAUAUUUGCGAUGAUAAAAAUAAAACAAAGUAUAAAAUGGUAAUUAAUUUACUGUAACUUGCUGCACGUACAGACGUUGGACGCAUUGAAGAAUUACGAGAAUGUCCAUGUUUCUAAACUGAUAUCAAUCAGUGUGGUAAUUUCGGGUCUAACUGCAAGUAGAAAAGAGGCUGGGCGGGGCUUCGUGUCGGUCUACUGCAGCCUAUUGCAAGACAGGAAGGAAGUUUCUGUGGGUUUUGUGGUUUUUCUGAUUAUUGCCGUUUCAAGCCUGAAGUCACCGCACAUAUAAAGUGUGAGAAGAAGCACUCCCCAACCAACAUGAUGGAUGGAAAGCACAAGAAUACCUGAACACUGACAAAAGACAAUUCUUUGGGCGAUGGUUCCAUCUGGUGACGGAAGGCCAAUCCUUUCCAACAAGACCAUUUGCUUAUUCUCAAACUGGAAUUACUCCAGUUGUUAUAUUUUCGUACUUGGCGUUUAGCUUUUCCUUCAUCUUGGCCUAUAAUUUGUUUCGAUUAUUUUGGCGUUGAUACUUUAAAGUCUCACGGUCUCAUUCAGAUUACACCGACAGGCAAGCUCCUGCCUGCCAGACUGCAAUUGCUGUUGCUGUGUCCAGCAGUGUGUGUGAAAUAGACAAAAAACAAGCGGCAGCCUCCAAUGCCUGCACCACAUCCCCGAAUGAAAAGGUUUGUGUUGCUGAUUCUUAUAUUAAAAAUGUGGAAUUGUUUCAGAACAAUUCUUUAAUGUUCAGAAAAAUAUAGUUUAAAAUCGUAAUUGUUUGCACUGUUACAGAUAUCUUGACUGUUAAAAUGUUCACUUAAAAAUGUUCAAUAAAAAGGUGCUUUUUUUUGUUGGGUUGAUCCGAUUUUUUUGUUGGAUUGAUCAAUUAUGCCAACAAAAUUUAGACCUUGUUCCUUCCACUGAAAGCACAGUCAUUUAAAGGUUCAUAGUUUCCACAGACAAGACACUGUACACAUUAAUGUUGUCCCUUUAGAAGCUCUUCUGUUACUGACGUGACAUUCAAGAGGUUUAAAGGCAGGAAUCUGGUUAAUCCAAAUUUUGUGAAUGUACCCAUGAUAACACCUGGUGUGUUUUCUUUGGUGGAAAGUUUUCUGUCUUGUUUGGUAUUAAUGUGGGUCAGCAAAGACGCCUGCCGUAGGCCGCGAAACUCCCAUCCUAUCUGAUCCAAUCAAAGCUGACCCGAGGGGGAUUAUAUAGUCGACAAAGACUCCUGUGUUGGCCGUCUGACUCGCCGUGUUGUCAUUUCCAGCUUUAACGCCCUCCACGCUACUCCGGCUACGCUUGUGGCACUGGUCACAGCUCUGUUGUUGUGAAGGAUUCCUUUGCUACUUUCUCUCACUUUGAUCGUCUAUUUUUGGUCUUCU